AUUCUACUCCCUCCGUUGCACAAUACAUGCCUUCUAUUUGUCAAAAUAUAUAUGUAUCUAGACAUGUUUUAGUAUAUAGGUACAUCCAUUUUUGGACAAAUCGAAGUCAAGUAUUUUGGAAUGGAGGGAGUACACA
rnacentral:pre_miRNA from 1 species